AUUGAACGCUGGCGGCAGGCUUAACACAUGCAAGUCGAGCGGGGUGAUGGUGCUUGCACUAUCACUUAGCGGCGGACGGGUGAGUAAUGCUUAGGAAUCUGCCUAUUAGUGGGGGACAACAUCUCGAAAGGGAUGCUAAUACCGCAUACGUCCUACGGGAGAAAGCAGGGGAUCACUUGUGACCUUGCGCUAAUAGAUGAGCCUAAGUCGGAUUAGCUAGUUGGUGGGGUAAAGGCCUACCAAGGCGACGAUCUGUAGCGGGUCUGAGAGGAUGAUCCGCCACACUGGGACUGAGACACGGCCCAGACUCCUACGGGAGGCAGCAGUGGGGAAUAUUGGACAAUGGGGGGAACCCUGAUCCAGCCAUGCCGCGUGUGUGAAGAAGGCCUUAUGGUUGUAAAGCACUUUAAGCGAGGAGGGGGCUCUUUUGGUUAAUACCCAAGAUGAGUGUACGUUACUCGCAGAAUAAGCACCGGCUAACUCUGUGCCAGCCGCCGCAGUAA
rnacentral:rRNA from 1 species